GCGUUGGCCUUGUCAUGCUGUAGGGGUUGGGACCACCAUGAAAGUGUCCGCCGGCCCAACUCCGUCCUUGGAGUUUUAAUUCGGCAAAACUUCCCGGGGUUUGUCACGUUGCCUGGUGAGGGUCGGCUUCCAGAGGUUGGAUUGAGUUGGGAGCACUACUUGGCUGCCCCGGCCCCGCCGGGUGAGAUUAUCGACGGUGUCUUGUGCAAGAUGAGGGCAGACGUGGUGAUUAGAAAGUUCUGGACAUUCUACAGGUGUGAGGAGGGAUACGAGGAGGAGGCGGCAGAUGUUAUCAAUAAGGAGUGCAAGCGCCUACUUCAGAACUUACGGCAUGAGGUUCGGGUGCAGGCUGUUCGAGACUACUACGCCGGGCGUGGUAUCAAGAAGCCCAAGCAGGAGUGCCGCGAUAAUUUCUUGAGUAAGGAGCAGUACAUGAAGGCCCCUCCGAGAUGGUGUGCGGAUCGGAUGGAUUGUUGGGAGGUGUUGGUCAAUGCGCGGUGCUCAAAACAAUGGCGGGCCACCCACAACGAGGCCAAGGACAAACGUGCCCAAAUGGAAGGUGUGCCACACCACCAAGGCAGCUCCAACUUAUUUCAGUACGGGCGGAACUGG
rnacentral:rRNA from 1 species